rnacentral:rRNA from 1 species
UACGGGGGGGGGGCAAGCGUUGUUCGGAAUUACUGGGCGUAAAGGGCUCGUAGGCGGCCAACUAAGUCAUACGUGAAAUCCCUCGGCUUAACCGGGGAACUGCGUCUGAUACUGGAUGGCUUGAGAUUGGGAGAGGGAUGCGGAAUUCCAGGUGUAGCGGUGAAAUGCGUAGAUAUCUGGAGGAACACCGGUGGCGAAGGCGGCAUCCUGGACCAACACUGACGCUGAGGAG